rnacentral:rRNA from 1 species
UGAGGAAUAUUGGGCAAUGCCCGAAAGGGUGACCCAGCAACGCCGCGUGGAGGAUGAAGGUCGUAAGAUUGUAAACUCCUGUUAGAGGGGAAGAAUAACUAAGUUUGGAGCUUAGUAUGACUGUACCCUCAGAGAAAGCCCCGGCUAACUACGUGCCAGCAGCCGCGGUAAUACGUAGGGGGCAAGCGUUGUCCGGAUUUACUGGGUGUAAAGGGCGCGCAGGCGGAAUGGAAAGUCAGUGGUGAAAUCCUACAGCUUAACUGUAGAACUGCCUUUGAUACUUUCAUUCUGGAUUUCGGGAGAGAGAGACGGAAUUCCAGGUGUAGUGGUGAAAUACGUAGAUAUCUGGAAGAACACCAGUUGCGAAGGCGGACUCUUGGUCCGAUACUGACGCUGAGGCGCGAAAGCGUGGGGAGCAAACA